AAAAUGGAGAUAAAAGGAAGUGCCCACAGAAAGGCUCAAGAGCUGCGGUGAUUUACUGGGAGGCCUCCAGUGAGGCACCUGACCUGUGCCUCACUUGGAUCAUCAGUAGUUGGAGGUAACUGGGCCCUGCUGCCAGAAGAUGCGGCAGCCUGGGAGCUGGAGCUUCAGACCCGGACAUACUGACUGAAGGGUGCCCCCUGGUGUCCAUCACUCAGAUCUUUAGGCUCCAGUGAGAUUGACAAGGUCAAGGAUUUUCCUUUCCUUGACUUUGCUUCAAGCUGAAAUGGAAGAAGACACAUAAGCUGGGAAGGUACUGGAGCAUGGUCUUCCUGCUCUUCAGUGUCUCCAACAUGAAAUCUUUGCUUAAGCUAAGAUCAAGGUACAGCUCUCAGUUCCUGCUCCAAUGCAUGUGUGCCACCAUGCUCCCUGCCAUGAGAUAAUGGACUGAUCCCCUGAAACUGUAAGCAAGCCCCCAAGUGUCUGCCGUGUUCCUGGUCUUUGCUGUUUCAGUGUCUGUUUCCUGCUCUGUGUAAACAGGGAUAUGGUUCAUUUUGCUGAUGAAAGGGAGAGACAUUGGUGUCUCCUAUUUGGAGUCACAGAAGACUUGAGAGAGGCUGAAGUGGAAUACACGGGUUGGAUUUGCAUUGGCUAUAAGGCCUUGAACAUCCACAGAGGCUGUAGAGACUUACCUCAGUAUCAACUUCAGCAAGUUAAACACUGAUGUGCUGAGGACAAUUUCCAUGGACUUCCUGUGCUCUGCUAGAAGACACUUGGCUAGACCCAAGGAAAUCCCGUGCACACCCGAAGGGAAGCCAAGUGGAUCUUUGAACACAAAGGCUGUGGUUCCUUCCAGCUGGAAGUUGGCAGGUGUCACACAUGAUCUUCACUGAAUGGGCAAACUGGAAAGGAAACAUUGUCUCCAACCUGGAAGUGAAAACUGAGACCAGCGGAGGGAAGAGGACUCGGUCAAAAGGCUGGCUCAGCUUUGAUCUGGGAAAAUGAAAGGCCAGGUUUCUGGGUGCCCCACUGCCAACUUUUGCAGAAGAGUGAGCCUUGCUGAUCCUGCCAGCUCAGGCGUACUCCAUUUCCUGGUAAUUAAACAAGUGGAGAUCAAAGCCGACAGAUCUCCUAGUCUCUCGGCACAGAGGAUGAAGUCUCUUUCAGGAUUGACUGUGUGUACCCUCUGCAUCUGCUGUCUGUUGACUAUAAGGGUCUGCCAUCUACAUGACUGAUGGGCAUAGUGAUUGUAUCUCUGCUGUGCCUGUGUGUAUCAACUCGAGGCCAGAUCCAUAGCUGGCACAGCUCCUUGGAGGCCUCCCUCUCUUCUUGGAUCCACAGGAAGAGAGAGCAAUUGGAAAGACUGGCAAUCUCUGCAUGAGCUGGUCAGAUCAGCAGGAGGGAAGUCAGGCAUGAGUUUCACAGAAAUAGACAUCAACUGGCCUUGGCCAUUAACAAUUUGUGCAUGAAUUGUCCCCAUGGUGCAUGUGUUUGAACACCUGGUCUCCAGCUGGUAGUGCUAUCCUAAGAACUUGUGACCCUCCCUGGUGCAGCUGGGUCACUGAAAACAGGCCCCUGAGGGUUCUAACUUGGCCUCUCUUCCAGUCCUGUUUGCUUCUCCAUCCAGCCUCCAUGUGAGGAGCCACACACUCCCACCAUCAGCACUGAUUAAGUAGCUCCUCAGUGUGCUGUGCCUGCCCUGCAUGAUGAACUGAAACUCCCCUGAAACCAUAAGCCAAUGUAAACCUCUUCUCCCUUACGCUGCUUCUGUCAAAUGUCCCUCACAGUGAUGAAAGAAAAGUAAACCUAAAUCUCUAUCUUUAUGUCUAUAUUUGUCUUUUGGACUUGUCAUCUUUGGACUGUUCUGUGAC